AAAAUGAAGAGGAUUCAGAAGAGUAAUGUAAACGCGUACUUUUAGAGAGCUGAUGGUGCUGAAAAUCAGUAGUACCCUUGCAUGAAUGGGCUGAUGUAUAUAAUGAAAAUAAUGUUUACAUUUAUCUGUGAACUUUUAAUAGUGGUAAGAGAUGGUAGAAAAUUUUCUAUCAAUUGAGGUGGUACCGCGUAUUAAUAACGCCCUCACG
rnacentral:ncRNA from 1 species